rnacentral:rRNA from 1 species
ACGCGAGGAACCUUACCAGGUCUUGACAUCCUCUGACACUCCUAGAGAUAGGACGUUCCCCUUCGGGGGACAGAGUGACAGGUGGUGCAUGGUUGUCGUCAGCUCGUGUCGUGAGAUGUUGGGUUAAGUCCCGCAACGAGCGCAACCCUUGAUCUUAGUUGCCAGCAUUCAGUUGGGCACUCUAAGGUGACUGCCGGUGACAAACCGGAGGAAGGUGGGGAUGACGUCAAAUCAUCAUGCCCCUUAUGACCUGGGCUACACACGUGCUACAAUGGAUGGUACAAAGGGCUGCAAGACUGUGAAGUCAAGCCAAUCCCAUAAAACCAUUCUCAGUUCGGAUUGCAGGCUGCAACUCGCCUGCAUGAAGCCGGAAUCGCUAGUAAUCGCGGAUCAGCAUGCCGCGGUGAAUACGUUCCCGGGCCUUGCACACACCGCCCGU